CGGGUCUGUAGUAGCCUGGGUGCCGCAGUGCACCACAGUACAGCGGGAUGGCCCUGCAUCGCCCCAGUUACAUCUUCAUUGCAGUGACUGGCCUCAUAAUAUGUGUUCCUGCACAGCAUUAGAUGUGUCUGACUUCUAAGGAAAAUGAGACUCCAGACACAUUGAUGGAUUUUGCCCAUUUGGCUUUGGCUGGAAUUCAAUUACUCUGCCGGUCCUUGUCUCAUCAUCUAGUGGGUAACAACCUUUUCCAAAAUGGG